rnacentral:lncRNA from 10 species
CACACCAGGUUUGGUAUAAGAAAUUCUUUUGCCAUCUUUUAAACAUUACUGUGCUGAACUCUUACAUCCUAUUCAAGAAGGACAAUCUUGAGCACAUGUUUCAUCAUGCAAACUUCAGAGUCACAUUGAUAGAAAGAAUGCUGGAAAAGCAUCACAAGCAAGGGCAGCAACCUCUUCAAGGCCCUCCAUGCUGUGAUGAUGUCAUACCACUUUUCCUGUCUAGAUGACAUUUCCUCAAAAGCAUACCACCAACAUCAGGGAAACAGAAUUGGCUGGUUGCUGCAUCAUUUGCUGCUCACACAAUGACAAGGAUGACAAGAAGAUUCAGAAAGAAAUGCAGUAUAUUUUUGUGGAAUGUGAUGUUCCACUUUAUGUUGUUCUAUGUUUUGAAAUGUACCACACAAAAAAA